GAAGCAAAUCAACAUAGUUUUUGAAAAAUAGAUUUUGAGAGAUAAAGCUAGCCACAAUUAUUUGAAACAUUCAACAAGAAUUUUCAGAUAAAUCUAACAGAAAAAACGAACAGAAAAAAAAACGAACAAUUAAUCAGUAGAAGUAUGUUUUUGAGAGUGGGGAAUCAAUUAAUCGGAUCAGAUUUUUCAAAAUCGAAGUAAAGAUUGAAGAUUUUACAGAGAUGGAAGCUAGGGUCUUUGGGGGAGAGAGAGAACAGAGCCGGAAGAUGAG
rnacentral:lncRNA from 1 species